rnacentral:rRNA from 1 species
AGAGUUUGAUCAUGGCUCAGAGCGAACGCUUGGCGGCAGGCCUAACACAUGCAAGUCGAACGAACUCUUCGGAGUUAGUGGCGGACGGGUGAGUAACACGUGGGAACGUGCCUUUAGGUUCGGAAUAACUCAGGGAAACUUGUGCUAAUACCGAAUGUGCCCUUCGGGGGAAAGAUUUAUCGCCUUUAGAGCGGCCCGCGUCUGAUUAGCUAGUUGGUGAGGUAAAAGGGUUCACCAAGGCUACGAUCAGUAGCUGGUCUGAGAGGAUGACCAGCCACAUUGGGACUGAGACACGGCCCAAACUCCUACGGGAGGCAGCAGUGGGGAAUCUUGCGCAAUGGGCGAAAGCCUGACGCAGCCAUGCCGCGUGGAUGAUGAAGGUCUUAGGAUUGUAAAAUCCUUUCACCGGUGAAGAUAAUGACUGUAGCCGGAGAAGAAGCCCCGGCUAACUUCGUG